rnacentral:rRNA from 1 species
UAGAGUUUGAUCCUGGCUCAGGACGAACGCUGGCGGCGUGCCUAAUACAUGCAAGUCGAGCGAACAGAAAAGGAGCUUGCUCCUUUGACGUUAGCGGCGGACGGGUGAGUAACACGUGGGCAACCUACCUUAUAGUUUGGGAUAACUCCGGGAAACCGGGGCUAAUACCGAAUAAUCUCUUUUGCUUCAUGGUGAAAGACUGAAAGACGGUUUCGGCUGUCGCUAUAGGAUGGGCCCGCGGCGCAUUAGCUAGUUGGUGAGGUAACGGCUCACCAAGGCGACGAUGCGUAGCCGACCUGAGAGGGUGAUCGGCCACACUGGGACUGAGACACGGCCCAGACUCCUACGGGAGGCAGCAGUAGGGAAUCUUCCACAAUGGGCGAAAGCCUGAUGGAGCAACGCCGCGUGAGUGAAGAAGGUUUUCGGAUCGUAAAACUCUGUUGUAAGGGAAGAACAAGUACAGUAGUAACUGGCUGUACCUUGACGGUACCUUAUUAGAAAGCCACGGCUAACUACGUGCCAGCAGCCGCGGUAAUACGUAGGUGGCAAGCGUUGUCCGGAAUUAUUGGGCGUAAAGCGCGCGCAGGCGGUCCUUUAAGUCUGAUGUGAAAGCCCACGGCUCAACCGUGGAGGGUCAUUGGAAACUGGGGGACUUGAGUGCAGAAGAGGAAAGUGGAAUUCCAAGUGUAGCGGUGAAAUGCGUAGAGAUUUGGAGGAACACCAGUGGCGAAGCGACUUUCUGGUCUGUAACUGACGCUGA